rnacentral:rRNA from 1 species
AGUAACGUAUGGGGAUCUGCCCGAUAGAGGGGGAUAACUACUGGAAACGGUGGCUAAUACCGCAUAAUGUCUACGGACCAAAGCAGGGGCUCUUCGGACCUUGCACUAUCGGAUGAACCCAUAUGGGAUUAGCUAGUAGGUGGGGUAAAGGCUCACCUAGGCGACGAUCUCUAGCUGGUCUGAGAGGAUGAUCAGCCACACUGGGACUGAGACACGGCCCAG